ACCAACAGGGAUUGCCUCAGUAACGGCGAGUGAAGCGGCAACAGCUCAAAUUUGAAAUCUGGCCCGUUCCGGGUCCGAGUUGUAAUUUGUAGAAGAUGCUUCGGGUCGGGGCCUGGUCUAAGUUCCUUGGAACAGGACGUCAUAGAGGGUGAGAAUCCCGUAUGUGACCGGUGCCGCGGCCCGUGUGAAGCUCUUUCGACGAGUCGAGUUGUUUGGGAAUGCAGCUCAAAAUGGGUGGUAUAUUCCAUCUAAAGCUAAAUAUUGGCCAGAGACCGAUAGCGCACAAGUAGAGUGAUCGAAAGAUGAAAAGCACUUUGGAAAGAGAGUUAAAUAGUACGUGAAAUUGUUGAAAGGGAAGCGCUUGCAACCAGACUUGCGCGCUGCUGAUCAUCCGGGGUUCUCUCCGGUGCACUCGGUAGCGCUCAGGCCAGCAUCGGUUCCGGGGGUGGGAUAAAGGCCUUGGGAAUGUAGCUCCUCUCGGGGAGUGUUAUAGCCCUCGGUGCAAUGCCGCCACCCGGGACCGAGGACCGCGCUUCGGCUAGGAUGCUGGCGUAAUGGUUGUAAGCGACCCGUCUUGAAACACGGACCAAGGAGUCUACCAUCUAUGCGAGUGUUUGGGUGUCAAACCCAUACGCGGAAUGAAAGUGAACGGAGCUAAGAAGCCUCAAGGCGGCACUAGCGACCGGUCCUGAUGUCUUCGGACGGAUCUGAGUAAGAGCAUAGCUGGUGGGACCCGAAAGAUGGUGAACUAUGCCUGAAUAGGGUGAAGCCAGAGGAAACUCUGGUGGAGGCUCGCAGCGGUUCUGACGUGCAAAUCGAUCGUCAAAUUUGGGCAUAGGGGCGAAAGACUAAUCGAACC
rnacentral:rRNA from 1 species